rnacentral:rRNA from 1 species
CUGGCGGCGUGCCUAAUACAUGCAAGUCGAACGGUCUUUCUAUGGAAGGCUUGCUUCCACUGAGAAGAUAGUGGCGAACGGGUGAGUAACACGUGGGUAACCUGCCCAUAAGAGGGGGAUAACAUCCGGAAACGGGUGCUAAUACCGCAUAGUUUUCUUGAUCGCAUGAGUCGGGAAAGGAAAGACGGCCUUUGUGCUGUCGCUUAUGGAUGGACCCGCGGCGUAUUAGUUGGUGAGGUAACGGCUCACCAAGACGAUGAUACGUAGCCGACCUGAGAGGGUGAUCGGCCACAUUGGGACUGAGACACGGCCCAAACUCCUACGGGAGGCAGCAGUAGGGAAUCUUCCGCAAUGGACGAAAGUCUGACGGAGCAACGCCGCGUGAGUGAAAGAAGGUUUUCGGAUCGUAAAACUCUGUUGUCAGAGAAGAACAAGUUGGAGAGUAACUGCUCCAGCCUUGACGGUAUCUGACCAGAAAGCCACGGCUAACUACGUGCCAGCCGCCGC